rnacentral:rRNA from 1 species
GAUGAACGCUGGCGGCGUGCCUAAUACAUGCAGGUCGAGCGAACAGACGAGGAGCUUGCUCCUCUGACGUUAGCGGCGGACGGGUGAGUAACACGUGGAUAACCUACCUAUAAGACUGGGAUAACUUCGGGAAACCGGAGCUAAUACCGGAUAAUAUAUUGAACCGCAUGGUUCAAUAGUGAAAGACGGUUUUGCUGUCACUUAUAGAUGGAUCCGCGCCGCAUUAGCUAGUUGGUAAGGUAACGGCUUACCAAGGCAACGAUGCGUAGCCGACCUGAGAGGGUGAUCGGCCACACUGGAACUGGGACACGGUCCAGACUCCGACGGGAGGCAGCAGUAGGGAAUCUGCCGCAAUGGGCGAAAGCCUGACGGAGCAACGCCGCGUGAGUGAUGAAGGUCUUCGGAUCGUAAAACUCUGUUAUUAGGGAAGAACAAAUGUGUAAGUAACUAUGCACGUCUUGACGGUACCUAAUCAGAAAGCCACGGCUAACUACGUG